rnacentral:rRNA from 1 species
AUACGUAGGGGGCGAGCGUUGUCCGGAAUGAUUGGGCGUAAAGGGCGCGUAGGCGGCCCGGUAAGUCUGGAGUGAAAGUCCUGUUUUUAAGAUGGGAAUUGCUUUGGAUACUGUCGGGCUUGAGUGCAGGAGAGGUAAGUGGAAUUCCCAGUGUAGCGGUGAAAUGCGUAGAGAUUGGGAGGAACACCAGUGGCGAAGGCGACUUACUGGACUGUAACUGACGCUGAGGCGCGAAAGUGUGGGGAGCAAACAGGAUUAGAUACCCUGGUAGUCCACACUGUAAACGAUGAAUGCUAGGUGUAGGGGUUAUCGACCCCUUCUGUGCCGCAGUCAACACAAUAAGCAUUCCGCCUGGUGAGUACGGCCGCAAGGUUGAAACUUAAAGGAAUUGGCGGGG